CCUACGGGGGGCUGCAGUGGGGAAUAUUGGACAAUGGGGGCAACCCUGAUCCAGCCAUGCCGCGUGAGUGAUGAAGGCCCUAGGGUUGUAAAGCUCUUUCGGCGGGGACGAUAAUGACGGUACCCGCAGAAGAAGCCCCGGCUAACUUCGUGCCAGCAGCCGCGGUAAUACGAAGGGGGCUAGCGUUGCUCGGAAUCACUGGGCGUAAAGCGCACGUAGGCGGAUCUUUAAGUCAGGGGUGAAAUCCCAAGGCUCAACCUUGGAACUGCCUUUGAUACUGGGGAUCUCGAGUCCGGAAGAGGUUGGUGGAACUCCGAGUGUAGAGGUGAAAUUCGUAGAUAUUCGGAAGAACACCAGUGGCGAAGGCGGCCAACUGGUCCGGUACUGACGCUGAGGUGCGAAAGCGUGGGGAGCAAACAGGAUUAGAUACCCCAGUAGUC
rnacentral:rRNA from 2 species